AUGCUGUCUGUCAAAAUUGUUGUCCUCCUCAUGGCCGUUCUCCCAGGCAUCUGUGCCCAGGUGCAGCUGGUGCAGUCCGGGGCAGAGGUGAAGAGACCUGGGGAGUCUCUGAAGAUCUCCUGCAAGACAUCUGGAUACAGCUUUACUGACUACUGGAUCCACUGGGUGUGGCAGAUGCCUGGAAAAGGCUUGGAGUGGGUGGGAGAUAUAUACCCUGAUGAUUCUGAUACCAGCUACAGCCCAUCCAUCCAAGAUCAAGUCACCAUCUCCACAGACAACUCCAUCAGCACCGCCUUCCUGCAGUGGAGCAGCCUGAAGGCCACAGACACAGCCAUGUAUUACUGUGCAAGGGGCACCAUGAGAGAAACCACAUCCCGAGAGGGACAGAAACCCUCAGCCGGCUGUGUCUGCAGAGCAGAGCCCUCAGGGGCACCUCCACCCGGGACCACCCAGCUCACCACCAGAGGGAACACUGUCUGCUGGGUCCUCGGGAGUGAGACCAUGAGGAACACAGGAGCACUGGCCCACAGUGCUGACAAUGACACGGGCCCCUCCUGGGGACAUAGGUGCUCCUUGUUGGAAGGUGGGUUCUGGGGCAGCUCGCCCGGGGUCCUCUAG